rnacentral:ncRNA from 1 species
UAGCUGGAAAGAAAAAACACAGUUCGGUUGGUAGUCCGAACAUAGUUAUUUAGCUAUCAGUAACCUGCCUCCUUGGUUGUCCAUCUUUCUUAAUUGAUUU